rnacentral:rRNA from 1 species
UACGGGGGGAGCAAGCGUUGUUCGGAUUUACUGGGCGUAAAGGGCGCGUAGGCGGCCACCGCAAGUCAGUUGUGAAAUCUCCAGGCUUAACCUGGAAAGUGCAGAGGGGACUGUUCAGCUAGAGGAUGGGAGAGGAGCGCGGAAUUCCCGGUGUAGCGGUGAAAUGCGUAGAGAUCGGGAGGAAGGCCGGUGGCGAAGGCGGCGCUCUGGAACAUUUCUGACGCUGAGGCUCGAAAGCGUGGGGAGCAAACAGG